AGGAUUAUUUUUAUACGACCGCAAAAAAAUUUUGUGGUCGUAUAUUGGUAUGACGUUGGCGUCGUCGUCGUCGUCGUAGUCGUCGUCGUCGUCGUCGUCGUCGUCGUCCGAAUACACAUUGGUUUUCGCACUCUAACUUUAGUUUAAGUGAAUGGAUCUCUAUGAAAUUUUACCAUAAGGUUCAAUACCACAAAUGGAAGGUGGGGAUUGAUUUUGGGGGUUAUGGUACCAACAGUUCAGGAAUUAGGGGCCAAAAAGGGGCCAAAAAUAAGCAUUUUUGUAACUUCCAGACAUAACUUGUGUGUUAGUGUAUGGAUCUCUCUGACAUUGUACCACAAGGUUCCAUAUCACAAAGGGAAUGCUGGGAUUGAUUUUUGGGGUAAUUGCCUCCAAAUUUUAGGAAUUAGGGGCCAAAAAGGGGAAAAAAACAAGCAUUUUUCUAGUUUCAUGACAAUAACUUGUGUGUAAGUGUAUGGAUCUGUCUGACAUUGUUCCAUAAGGUUCCAUAUCACAAAGGGAAUGCUGGGAUUGAUUUUGGGGGUAAUUGCCUCCAAAUUUUAGGAAUUAGGGGCCAAAAAGGGGCAAAAAACAAGCAUUUUUCUAGUUUCAUGACAAUAACUUGUGUGUAAGUGUAUGGAUCUUUAUGAAAUUGUACUACAAGGUUCCAUAUCACAAAGGGAAAGCUGGGUUUGAGUUUGGGGGUAAUUGCCCUAAAUGUUUAGGAAUUUGGGGCCAAAAAACAAGCAUUUCCAGACAAUAACUUGUGUUCAAGUGUAUGGAUCUCUCUGAAAUUGUACAGUUCAUACAUGUGAACCUCCCAACGGGAGUACAAUAAUCCCGUUUUCAGGGGUCUCCUCCCGACCUCCCGUUGAAGACAAAAAAAUCCCGUGUAUGAAAUAUUUCAUGAAUGAAAAAUUUCAGCCAAACAUAUCUGGUGUAACUGACAUUACUGAAGUUAUAUUUUACCUGUAAAUCAAUUAAAAUGCAUAAUUAUAUGGCCUCACUUGUCACCUUGGGUGUCAAACAUACUGGUAAUAAACGAUUUUUACCUCA